rnacentral:rRNA from 1 species
AUUGAACGCUGGCGGCAUGCCUUACACAUGCAAGUCGAACGGUAACGGGCCUUCGGGUGCCGACGAGUGGCGAACGGGUGAGUAAUACAUCGGAACGUGCCCGAUCGUGGGGGAUAACGAGGCGAAAGCUUUGCUAAUACCGCAUACGAUCUACGGAUGAAAGCAGGGGACCGCAAGGCCUUGCGCGGACGGAGCGGCCGAUGGCAGAUUAGGUAGUUGGUAGGAUAAAAGCUUACCAAGCCGACGAUCUGUAGCUGGUCUGAGAGGAUGAUCAGCCACACUGGGACUGAGACACGGCCCAGACUCCUACGGGAGGCAGCAGUGGGGAAUUUUGGACAAUGGGCGCAAGCCUGAUCCAGCCAUGCCGCGUGCAGGAUGAAGGCCUUCGGGUUGUAAACUGCUUUUGUACGGAACGAAAAGCCUUCUUUUAAUACAGGAGGGUCAUGACGGUACCGGAAGAAUAAGCACCGGCUAACUACGUG